UACGGAGGGAGCUAGCGUUGUUCGGAAUUACUGGGCGUAAAGGGCGCGCAGGCGGCCUUAGAAGUCAGAUGUGAAAGCCCCGGGCUCAACCUGGGAAUGGCAUUUGAUACUCUGAGGCUGGAGUACGGGAGAGGAGAGUGGAAUUCCCAGUGUAGAGGUGAAAUUCGUAGAUAUUGGGAAGAACACCUGUGGCGAAAGCGGCUCACUGGACCACAACUGACGCUGAGGCGCGAAAGCUAGGGGAGCAAACAGG
rnacentral:rRNA from 1 species